CCCUUAGAUGUUCUGGGCCGCACGCGCGCUACACUGAUGCAUUCAACGAGCCUAUCCUUGACCGACAGGUCCGGGUCAUCUUUGAAUCUGCAUCGUGACGGGGAUAGAUUAUUGCAAUUAUUAAUCUUCAACGAGGAAUGCCUAGUAGGCGCAAGUCAUCAGCUUGCGUCGAUUACGUCCCUGCCCUUUGUACACACCGCCCGUCGCUCCUACCGAUUGGGUGUGCUGGUGAAAUGUUCGGAUCGGCCGUUUGUCGCGGUUUCCGCGUCAUGUGGCUGAGAAGUUCAUUAAACCCUCCCACCUAGAGGAAGGAGAAGUCGUAACA
rnacentral:rRNA from 1 species